rnacentral:rRNA from 1 species
CAGCAGCCGCGGUAAUACGUAGGGUGCAAGCGUUAUCCGGAAUUAUUGGGCGUAAAGGGCUCGUAGGCGGUUCGUCGCGUCCGGUGUGAAAGUCCAUCGCUUAACGGUGGAUCCGCGCCGGGUACGGGCGGGCUUGAGUGCGGUAGGGGAGACUGGAAUUCCCGGUGUAACGGUGGAAUGUGUAGAUAUCGGGAAGAACACCAAUGGCGAAGGCAGGUCUCUGGGCCGUUACUGACGCUGAGGAGCGAAAGCGUGGGGAGCGAACAGGAUUAGAUACCCUGGUAGUCCACGCCGUAAACGGUGGAUGCUGGAUGUGGGGCCCGUUCCACGGGUUCCGUGUCGGAGCUAACGCGUUAAGCAUCCCGCCUGGGGAGUACGGCCGCAAGGCUAAAACUCAAAGAAAUUGACGGGGGCCCGCACAAGCGGCGGAGCAUGCGGAUUAAUUCGAUGCAACGCGAAGAACCUUACCUGGGCUUGACAUGUUCCCGACGACGCCAGAGAUGGCGUUUCCCUUCGGGGCGGGUUCACAGGUGGUGCAUGGUCGUCGUCAGCUCGUGUCGUGAGAUGUUGGGUUAAGUCCCGCAACGAGCGCAACCCUCGCCCCGUGUUGCCAGCGGAUUAUGCCGGGAACUCACGGGGGACCGCCGGGGUUAACUCGGAGGAAGGUGGGGAUGACGUCAGAUCAUCAUGCCCCUUACGUCCAGGGCUUCACGCAUGCUACAAUGGCCGGUACAGCGGGAUGCGACAUGGCGACAUGGAGCGGAUCCCUGAAAACCGGUCUCAGUUCGGAUCGCAGUCUGCAAC